AGAGUAUUUAAUGCUCUCUGCCUGCCUCAGUCCCAGCCCAGGCUGACGGAUCCACCUCACUUUGUGUCUUCUGCUGCUCUUAAGAGACUAAUGAGGAAAUUUUCCUGUGACUGCUUCACUUGUGCGCUCCCUCUCUGCAUUGAGCAGCUAAUGAUGGAGAUGUCUCAAGCAGAGCUGGGUGCUUCCUUUCGCCAAACUGCAUCGGUCACUACCUCUCCAUAAUAAAACACCUUCAAGGUGAAUUUAUUUAAGAAUAUUUAACCCACAGCAAAAGCAGCAAACCCUGCAAGAAACAGCUUUUACAUCUCCCGUUGGAAUUUGUGCUCAGGAAGGUUUCUGAUGGGUUUUUUUUGGGGGGGGAGGGGCUAAAAAGGGCCCUUUUCAAGCCAGCUCUCUCAAGCCUCCAUCUCCUAAAGCUCCAUCUCAUGUGAGUCCACAGAAACGAGCCCUUCAUCUCCCCUGUGAGUUCUGCCUUCCUGGUUUCCAGCAGCACGUUCAGAGCAGAAGCAAAGAACUUCCACUUCUCCUCGGACUCAGACUUGAAACUCCAUCUGGAACCUGCAAAGUGACAAAGCUUUUCUACCCAAAGAGACCUGGAGAGCAGCUCCGUUCUGGUGGAAGUUGCACUCCAGGUGAAAGCUGCUGCUCUGCUGCCUCAGAUCUGUGUGUGAUCAACAGAACACAUUGAGUCCCUGACAGCAAUCUAACCUUACUUCCAGCCACCCAAGCAGUUUGUCUUUCACAGAAUAGUGUUUCUUCCCCCCCCCGAAAAGCAGUUUUAUUUUGGCUGCCCUAUCAAACUGCUGCCCCUGAUGUCAGUGCUGAACUUCUCAGGUAGUUCCCAGCUGGAACACUGCUGCUCAGACAGAUUGGAUGGGAGAAGUGGAAAGACAAAGAGCCUGCAUGCAGUAUGGUUUGGCUGCGGUUGGACUUGAUGAUCUUUAAGGUCUUUUCCAACCUAAGCAAUUCUAUGAUUCUAUGCCCUGGAUGUUAAGGGUAAAAACAGAGACAGGGAGAGAAAGAGAGGAACUCUCCCAGGUAAGGACAGCAAUAGGAUGAGAGGUGAUGACCUUAAGUCAUUCCAGAGGAGGUUCAGGUUGGAUAGAAGGAAGCAUUUAUUUGCAGAAACAGUGGCAAUGCAGUGGCUCAGCUGCCCAGGGGGUGGUGGAGUCACCAUCCCUGGAGGUGUUCAAGAUCACGGAGAUGUGGCACUGAGGGAUGUGGUUAUGGGCAUGGUGGGAUGGGUUGGUGUCCUACUUGGUGACCUUAGAGGUCCUUUCCAACCUCAUUGACUCCGUGAUUUGACAAAACACAACAGAGGCACAGGCAGAAGACAUCGCAACACCACCAGGUUUCUGUGGAAGGCACAGCCAGUGAUACGUUUUCCAGUCCGCCAGCGAUGUGUCUGCUUUAUGGCCAGUGAGAUGAUGGGACAGAGGGAUGAGGCAUUAAUAGGAAGGAGACAGGAGCAAGAGACUGAGCAAAAUGCAGAAAUGACUUGAAAACCUAAGGGGAGGGAAGCCAGCGAGAGACAUUUCUGUCUGUUGAACACGAUCGAUGCCUGCUGACAUCAAUCACUGCAAGCUGGGUGCACUGAUGGAUGUUUCCUCCCUGUCUGCAGCGAAGACAAAUGGGUGUGGGCAGGGAACGCCUCGGCCACUGCAUGGAACCCAAGGGAAGGCAGUCCAGGCUGGGGAAGGCACAGAGCAGCCACUCUCAGGUGGCCCAGAGGACUGAGACAUCAUUGAUUAGAUACGUUCUUAAUUAAUUUUUUGAAAUUGCUACAGAUCAUUGCUGGAAGAAGAUGAUUUGUCAAAAGCGGUCCCUUUUGCGGGAACUCAGCGGCUGCAGAGAAACCUCCUGGUAGGUUCCUGAGCUCCGGGAAGGGCUCUGAUGGAAAAGGCAAGGAUCCAGGCUCCUGCAGAGCCCCAUCCUGCCAUGCCCCCCCAGCCCUAUGGGGGCAACAGGCUGAAAAGCUGUGUUUUUUUUCCAUGAGAACUCCCAUAGCAAAAGCACAGAGUGUAUCCGGGAACAAAGCAUCUGAAUCCGACUGAUUCGUUUUGCAUUGAAUAACACAUUACCAUCCGUUCGAACCAAAAGAGGGGAAAUUUAGACUAGGUAUAAGGAAAAGGUUUUUCGUGAUAGGAGUGAUGUGGCAUCGGCACAGGUUGCAGAGAGGUGGUGGGUGCCCCAUCCAUGGAGACACCUCAGGUCAGGCUGGACCGGGCUCUGAGCACCCGAUGGAACUGCAGAAGCCCCUGUUCAUUGCAGAAGAGUUGGACCAGAUGGCUGUGAAAUGUCCCUUCUAACUCAAACCAUUCUGUGUUUCUAUGAUUCAAUGAUCAAGUGCAAGUGAGCACUUCUGCUUGCUUAUGCAAAAUAAAUACACAAAACAAGAACUUUCUCAGAUGGAAAAGCAUUUAAAAAGCUCCAGAGCCCUUGGUGUUCUUUGUUUUGUACAAAACAAGAAAAAGCUCUCCUUCCCUCCUUCCUUCAUCCACACCCUUUGAUUUGUCUGAGCUUACAGUGACAGCUGUGGAAUCCCCCCAGAGGUGUCGGUACAUCAGAGGAACCAGGACCAGGAGUUAAAGACAUUUCUCUUGCUUUAUGGCUGCUGUGGGAUCCUGGUCCAAAUCCUCUUUCUUCCAGGCCACGUGUAUUCUCAGUACAACAGUUCCAGAGACUCAAAUGCUGCAGUUUCCCUAUGCUGGCAGAGCACAGAGCUGAGAACUGGGCUUGUAGUCCUCUCCAUCACAGCGCAUUGCCCAGCCAGACGUCCCCAGGCCUCCUGAACCACAUCACUGCUGCGGGGCCCACCCAAGGAUGGCUGACAUUUAAACAUUCACUCUCAGACCAAAAUUGCCCGUUCCUCCCCAGAACAAACCUGCAAUUCUUUUCAGAGCCGAGGCCACAAAGUUCAGGUGUUUCAAUUCAAAAGUGAGGACAAAAUUGUUUACUCUGCGCUGGAGAAGCAGGGCACAGCAGAAGCAGCUCUGAUGACAGCCUGCCCCUUCUGCAACAGAGGUUAUAACUUGUUUUUAAUCACUGUUUGCUCUCUUUUAUUUCUUGUUUCAUUUUCAGCUGCUCAAGGCAAGAGCUAAAGUCAAUUUACUGUACAUACAGAUUACCUGCUGCUUCAGGGUAACCGAUGGGAAAGGUCUCGGGCUGUGAUGAAAGGAGAAGGUAAAGAGGCUCAGCAGCUACAGCAGCUUGCUCCAGGUCAGAGAGCACACACGGUGCUGGCAGUGACACCUCUGCCACAUGCAAGGCCUACAGUGAACACUGCAUGAGGCUUUCUGUGCACUCUGGCAGACCCUGGGACUCAGUCCUCACUCCUCACAUGAGCAAAGCCUGGCUCCCUCCAGCUCUGAGCUGGAACUAUUGGGUUUGAACCUCCCACACCUGAAGGCACAAUCCUGCCUUGUGGGCUCAGUUGGGAUGAGCCCUCACAUUUCUCCAGUGGUUCCACAUUCGUCCAAAGAAUUCCUCACCCUUUUUCCUCAGAGCAGCAACCACAAUCGCAAGCAUUCAACCCACCCCCAGCUAACAACGCAAACCUCUGUAGCAACCUUACCACAAACUAAUACUACAGCAAUAAGAUCCUAAUUACUCCCAUCACAUAUCCAGUUUGGGUGAGGCACAGAAGCCAGAGUGAUGAUUUGGAUUCAUGUGAGCAUCAGGCGCACCAGCACCCCAUCCAUGCAAAGCAUCAGAGGGACAGGAGGAGGACGAAGCAGCACCUCGCUCAGUUCCUAAUGCUCCAGCUUUAUCCCCCUGCUCCUCCUGCCUUCCCCUGCAUUGCACAGCCCUCACUCCUCGCCUGCUCCCUUCUCCUUGCUGCCACUGCUGCCAGCUGCGAGAGCGGCACGGCUUUGUGAGAUGCUGCAGUGCCAUCUUCAGACAGGAGGGCAGCAGCCACAACCGUGGGAUGUUUUUGCCGUACAAAUAAGGAGGAUUUAAAAACAAACAAUGGAAAUCUGCCCACGUCCAGAUCUGUGCAGAGGGAACGUGUGUCCGGAUGCUGGGGAAACAUUUGCAGUUGGCAUGGCAGGGAUGAUGGGAUCCAACUGCAUUAAACAGCGCAGGGGUUCCACGAGAAGGAAUUCUCUCUCUCCCCUCUAUGAUUCAGCACGCUUAGGUGGGAUAUCGCAAUGCACGCUGUAACACGUUCCUCCUCUUGCACCCUCCCAGCAAGCUGCAGGACAUCAUUUUAUCCCAAUGCCUUCUUCUGCAGCAGCAAAACAACUGGGCUGGAGACCUCACUUCCCAACCAUGCAUCACAUCCCCAUCACCCUGUGCCAGCCCCUGCCGCCUCCUGACUCGAGCUUCAGCACUUUGGGGGGAAAUCGGUGAAGUGAUGAGGCACAAAAGUGUCAGAGAAGUGGGGGGUGGGCUCAGGUCUGCGCCCCUCCUUUUUAACUCAGUGCCACAUCAGUAGCCACCAACAGCACCGGUGGAUGGAGCCCACUGGUAAAUGAUACAUGUGGCUUUGCAGAGCACUAAUCGGAUGGAGGUUGGUGCUAAGAGACUUUCAGACUCUGAAAGCCAGGGCCUUUAACACAUUUUUUUUCCUCUCAGCACUGGUUGUUUGGGCCAAUUUUUGGUAAUUUCAGUAAUUUUGGCCUGCUUACAGACAUCACUGCUGCUGAAAACCAGUUCUGAGCCCAGGAGACUGCAGCACUACGGAGCUUCAGGGAAGGAAAGCAAACGGCCGCAGGAUCUCCCUGGAUGCUGCCUUAUCCCCACGGGCUCUGACCCUCCCGAGCUGCAAAACACAUCUGAAGGAGGGGAUUGGGUGAGCUCAGGAGUGGAUUUCUGCAGCAACUCCGUGAAGCUGAGAGCUUUUCUAGCAACACACAUUCUGGAUCCUCUCAGAAAGGUAUUCACCUCACCUGAAUUUGGAUGGUUUGAAGUUUAAUUUGUCAGACUGAGCUAGUUAACGUGCUUCUCUCUGUAGUUAAUGGAGAGAAAUAAGAGCUGCUAGAGGGCAAUUCCUCUGACCCGUUGUUAACACUUGUCUCAGCAUGAGAGAAAUAGCCCUCUGGAGAGGCUGCCUUCUGCACUGACUGUAAAGAGACAAAGAUGAGCAGCUCAAGCUCUCAAGCCCCAUUUUUUGACAAAUCCCAUAUGAAGUGCAGGUGGGACUGCCCAGCCAGCAGCACCCCCUGCUCACCUCAACACAACUCAAAGCCUCUCACCAGCUUAAAGACCCGGACUUGUCCUUCGAAAGCUCCAUGCUGAAGAGUUGCUAUUAUUUUUCACGUAGACUUCACUGGAUUUGAUUCCCCGAAGAGCAUCUGGGGAGCACUGGGGGAACAGAGAAGGGCUACAGCUCUGUGCUCAUCCCUACUGCUCCGGGGUGAAGGUGUGAGGAGCCCCAGCCCUGAGCAGAGCAUAUGGUGGGCACAACCCAACCUGUCCCCACCAGCGGCCCCAGCCCAAGGGAUGC
rnacentral:lncRNA from 1 species